CUGGUGUGAAUUGCAGAAUCCCGUGAACCAUCGAGUCUUUGAACGCAAGUUGCGCCCGAAGCCACUAGGCUGAGGGCACGUCUGCCUGGGUGUCA
rnacentral:rRNA from 1 species